GCUUGAAUUUUCGUAUAUAUGAGUUCAGUUCAAUUCCUCGUGUUUAAUGUUUGAAUGUUGUCUGCAAUCCUGUUUUGUGAAUUUCUGACAUUUGAUCACUUUAUGCUCCUUGUGGUAAUAUAAUCAGUAUUGUGUGGUUCUGCAAAUUGGUUCUGCCAAAUGAACUUUGCUAGGUUACUUAAUUGAUAAUUUGUAAUGUGGAAUUAGGGUAUGUUCUGAAGCAUGGUGAGAGUAUUACUAUAUAUAUUCCUUUCUUGUUCAUUGUCCCAGAAAUCCAGAAUAUAAUCUUACCUUAAAGUUAUUCUGUGUAUUUGAUAAGCACCUACAAUGAAUAUGUACUUUCAUGAUUUUUGACUUUAAAUGCAUACAUAAAUCUCUAGGUCAUCUGUCCCACCCUUAAAGGUGCUUAUAAUUCAGCGAAAGGAUUAAUAACUGUUUCUGACGGUGGAUACCAUGGGUUGCACC